AUAUCAAGAUUAAUCUCAGCCAUUAGAUGCAUCUAAUCCAAUGGUUGGAUUUAUUUCUAAAAUUAAAAUUAAUUUUGACUAGGGUUCAUCUCUUUCCCUCUUUCAAAGAAAACCAGCGUUUCUUUUGUCUGCCAUGGCAGAAAAGUUUUGGCUCCUUCUAUUUUUUUGGCAAAAUUUGACUCUCAAAUCUUAUAAUCAGAAAUUUGUAUAGCUAUUCUAAGGAAUCAUCUGCAAACUCAAGCACUUUGACUCAAAAAUUCAAAUUCGUUUGCUAUUUACAAUGAAGUUGACAAAGGUAAAAAGGGUUCUCUUUUUGUUUCCUCCAAGAUUUCACAAUUUUGGCAACCGAAUCCCUGCUUCUCCUGCCCAUAUCGUCCUUUUUCUUUCUUCUACACGUCAUUUCAAACGGUUCUUGAUCCGUUUGAAACCCUAACCCUUCAAGAAUCCCGCCCAAAUUAACCCUAGAAAGGUGUAGUAAUUCUUCUAUAAAUACAGAGGUUUUGGUAAUAAUUGAGGACAACUCUUGGAGCCAUCUUCAAACAAUUUUAUUCUUCAAAAAUACUCUAAAAUUCUCAGUUGUGUCGCCUCUGUUACUUCUUGCUAAAACAGAGAAAUUUUUCUUUGCAAAGUUCGCGGUUGUAAGCUCGAGUUCAAGUCCGAAGCCAGAAUCUAUAGAUUUAUUCGACGCGCCCAAGUUCGCUGCAUCGCAAAAGCAAUAUGACUUUUAAUGCAAGACUCGCCCCGCCCCAGCAUGGAAUCAUUACUAUUGAGCCAUAGACUAUGAUGGACAUCUAGAAGAAGAACAAGCGAAAAGCUUGGGGUCGCCUAUGGCGGCCUUCGUUAUUUACAUUUACUCUGUUUCGAAUUUUUAAUCAAUUUGGUUAUAUUCUUUUGAUUAGUUUAGUUCUACACUUAACUUGAGUUUGUUAAUUUAGUUUUGAUUUCUUUACUUAGUA